rnacentral:rRNA from 1 species
AUACGGAGGAUCCGAGCGUUAUCCGGAUUUAUUGGGUUUAAAGGGAGCGUAGGCGGAUGCUUAAGUCAGUUGUGAAAGUUUGCGGCUCAACCGUAAAAUUGCAGUUGAUACUGGGUGUCUUGAGUACAGUAGAGGCAGGCGGAAUUCGUGGUGUAGCGGUGAAAUGCUUAGAUAUCACGAAGAACUCCGAUUGCGAAGGCAGCUUGCUGGACUGUAACUGACGCUGAUGCUCGAAAGUGUGGGUAUCAAACAGGAUUAGAUACCCUGGUAGUCCACACAGUAAACGAUGAAUACUCGCUGUUUGCGAUAUACAGUAAGCGGCCAAGCGAAAGCGUUAAGUAUUCCACCUGGGGAGUACGCCGGCAACGGUGAAACUCAAAGGAAUUGACGGGGGCCCGCACAAGCGGAGGAACAUGUGGUUUAAUUCGAUGAUACGCGAGGAACCUUACCCGGGCUUAAAUUGCAAAUGAAUGUUCUGGAAACAGAUCAGCCGCAAGGCAUUUGUGAAGGUGCUGCAUGGUUGUCGUCAGCUCGUGCCGUGAGGUGUCGGCUUAAGUGCCAUAACGAGCGCAACCCUUAUCGAUAGUUACCAUCAGGUUAUGCUGGGGACUCUGUCGAGACUGCCGUCGUAAGAUGUGAGGAAGGUGGGGAUGACGUCAAAUCAACACGGCCCUUACGCCCGGGGCUACACACGUGUUACAAUGGGGGUACAGAAGGCAGCUACACGGCGACGUGAUGCUAAUCCCUAAAACCUCUCUCAGUUCGGAUUGGAGUCUGCAACCCGACUCCAUGAAGCUGGAUUCGCUAGUAAUCGCGCAUCAGCCACGGCGCGGUGAAUACGUUCCCGGGCCUUGUACACACCGCCCGUCAAGCCAUGAAAGCCGGGGGUACCUGAAGUGCGUAACCGCGAGGAGCGCCCUAGGGUAAAACUGGUGAUUGGGGGU